rnacentral:rRNA from 1 species
UACAGAGGAGCCAAGCGUUGUCCGGAUUGACUGGGCGUAAAGCGCACGUAGGCGGAUACUUAAGUCAGGGGUGAAAUCCCGGGGCUCAACCCCGGAACUGCCUUUGAUACUGGGUAUCUCGAGUCCGGAAGAGGUGAGUGGAAUUCCGAGUGUAGAGGUGAAAUUCGUAGAUAUUCGGAGGAACACCAGUGGCGAAGGCGGCUCACUGGUCCGGUACUGACGCUGAGGUGCGAAAGCGUGGGAGCAAACAGG